UAAGCCCCUCACAGCUUAUUGCAGGUCUUAUUCACGUCAACUUCAUUUAUUUUUCUUUUGUCUUCUCAGUGUUUAUAUUGCCCACUUUUUCUAAUGCACGCAUAAAUGGACGCAGAGCGAAUAGCUACUGUUGAUUUCAUAACAUUUAGUGAUUGAUAUACGCAUUUCAAUCCAGGCGACAGAUUUAUUAAGAAAAAAAUCCGUCAUAUUGGCAUUUUUCAUAAAGCUUCCUUUUCAAUAACCCAUCUUUUGUUUUUGUGUUAGCUUCACAUUUGAUUCUGCCAUGCAACAAACACAAGAAUGCUGUUCUUUUUGCAUUAAUUGAGCCAAAAUCAUCAAUUUCAGAAUUGGAUUGUUGACUGUGUCCAGCUUAUCAUUUUGGGAUAUGUUGGUCAUCGUAGCAUAGUAGCUCCUUCAACUGGAUCAGAAUUUAAGGAACAUUCGGAAAAACUUUGAACUUUGAAGAUCUGGCGGUUGACUGAUUCUCUUCUUCGACAGCAUGUUUGCAUUGUAAUUCUUGUUAUUUUUUAUGAGGUUGUGAAUUCAUUUUGCCAGAUCUUAGUAAGAAACGUUAUUCAUCAUCUUUGUCUUGCAUAUAGACAUAUCCUAAACUCUUUUCCCCCUGUAAAAAUGCACAGUAGUGUGUUGUCUUAAGGAGCUAUAUGCGUAGUUUAGAGACAUAACAAUGUGCCUGAUCAACAAAUGUUUUGGUACUUACGUUUUUUAUGAUUGAUUUCUUACGUACCUGACUUUGAUGCUGGCAAUGUGGAGGUGACUGAAAGAAUGUCAACUAAAUUAACUUAGGUGAAGUGACAUUGAUGAUGAAGUAUUUCCUAUCUUAAGUUCUUACCAAGUUAACAUUUUCCGGAAUUCACAUGUUUUUUCAAUCUCAACUUCCAAAUUUAUCUUUUUAGGGAAAGUUUGCCAAGCUAGAACUUGUGUAAGCGUCCUUUACAUGUGUUAUGGAUUUUUUACAGAAACAGAACACAGAGAGAAAAUAGAGAAAAUUCAUGGGGGAGAAGAACACAU
rnacentral:misc_RNA from 1 species